UACGUAGGUGACAAGCGUUGUCCGGAUUUACUGGGCGUAAAGAGCGCGCAGGCGGUCGAAUAAGUCGAAUGUGAAAGCCCCCGGCUCAACUGGGGAGGGUCAUUCGAUACUGUUCGACUUGAAGGCAGGAGAGGGAAGCAGAAUUCCCGGUGUAGUGGUGAAAUGCGUAGAUAUUGGGAGGAACAUCGGUGGCGAAGGCGGCUACCUGGACGGGUACUGACGCUGAUGCGCGAAAGCUAGGGGAGCAAACAGG
rnacentral:rRNA from 1 species